GACGAACGCUGGCGGCGUGCUUAACACAUGCAAGUCGAACGGAAAGGCCCUGCUUUUGUGGGGUGCUCGAGUGGCGAACGGGUGAGUAACACGUGAGUAACCUGCCCUUGACUUUGGGAUAACUUCAGGAAACUGGGGCUAAUACCGGAUAGGAGCUCCUGCUGCAUGGUGGGGGUUGGAAAGUUUCGGCGGUUGGGGAUGGACUCGCGGCUUAUCAGCUUGUUGGUGGGGUAGUGGCUUACCAAGGCUUUGACGGGUAGCCGGCCUGAGAGGGUGACCGGCCACAUUGGGACUGAGAGACGGCCCAGACUCCAACGGGAGGCAGCAGUGGGGAAUAUUGCACAAUGGGCGGAAGCCUGAUGCAGCAACGCCGCGUGCGGGAUGACGGCCUUCGGGGUGUAAACCGCUUUCGCCUGUGACGAAGCGUGAGUGACGGUAAUGGGUAAAGAAGCACCGGCUAACUACGUG
rnacentral:rRNA from 1 species